AGGAUGCGGCAACUUGCCAUGAAUGAAGAGCGGCUGGUCACAUGGCCUGGUCACCAUGACGACGGAUCCCGCAGCCGAGGUGGGCACGAUCUCUGCCCUGUGGAAGGUACACAUCAGCCAAGGUGACCAUCACUCAGCAGCCUGUUACACCAUUAAAUACUUAACUACUCUUGUGACAAAGGCUACUAAGGAGAAGAAGUGUCCACCUGGGAGGCUGACCGAAUUCUUCUCCAUGGUCAGGGGAGGCAUGAAGAAGUAGGGUCCAAGGUGAACUCUAUAGACUCUCUUUUUGAGGAUGUUUGCAGAGCAAACAGCUUUGGAAGUUGGAGACAGUGUCUCCCCAGCAGAUGACA